rfam:Candidatus Pacearchaeota archaeon RBG_13_36_9 RBG_13_scaffold_611, whole genome shotgun sequence.
AGCCCCGUAGUCUAGUGGUCAAGGAUCCGGCCCUCUGGAGGCUGGGACCCAGGUUCGAAUCCUGGCGGGGCUA